rnacentral:rRNA from 1 species
UACGUAGGCAGCAAGCGUUGUUCGGAAUUAUUGGGCGUAAAGAGCGUGUAGGCGGCCAGGUAGGUCCGGUGUGAAAACUCGAGGCUUAACCUCGAGAUGUCAUCGGAAACCAUCUGGCUAGAGUCCGGAAGGGGAAAGUGGAAUUCCUGGUGUAGCGGUGAAAUGCGCAGAUAUCAGGAAGAACACCAAUGGCGAAAGCAGCUUUCUGGGACGGUACUGACGCUGAGACGCGAAAGCGUGGGGAGCAAACAGG